rnacentral:rRNA from 1 species
UACGUAGGGCGCAAGCGUUGUCCGGAAUUAUUGGGCGUAAAGAGCUCGUAGGCGGUUUGUCGCGUCUGCUGUGAAAGCCCCGGGGCUCAACCCCGGGUCUGCAGGUGGGUACGGGCAGACUAGAGUGCAGUAGGGGAGACUGGAAUUCCUGGGUGUAGCGGUGAAAUGCGCAGAUAUCAAGGAGGAACACCGAUGGCGAAGGCAGGGUCUCCUGGGCUGAGUUGACCUGACGCUGAGGAGCGAAAGCAUGGGGAGCGAAACAGGAUUGAGAUACCCGGGUAGUC